rnacentral:rRNA from 1 species
GACCUCAAAUCAGGUAAGGACACCCGCUGAACUUAAGCAUAUCAAUAAGCGGAGGAAAAGAAAAUAACAAUGAUUCCCCUAGUAACUGCGAGUGAAGAGGGACAAGCUCAAAUUUUAAAUCUGUUAGGUUUACCUGACCGAGUUGUAAUUUGAAGAAGCGUUAUCUGCGCGGUUGGUCAGCCCAAGUCCUAUUGAAUGAGGCAUCAUGGAGGGUGAUAAUCCCGUCCGGUUGAUCGAUGCGUUUUACGAUACGCUCUCAAAGAGUCGAGUUGUUUGGGAUUGCAGCUUAAAAUGGGAGGUAAAUUUCUCCUAAGGCUAAAUAUUGGCGAGGGACCGAUAGCGAACAAGUACCGUGAGGGAAAGAUGAAAAGUACUUUGAAAAGAGAGUUAAAUAGCACGUGAAAUUGUUGAAAGGGAAACGAUUGAAG